UACCUGUCUCCUCCCAUAGUUAGGUGCCAAGCACUGUGGAUUCUGCCUCUCAGUGUCCAGACACCCAUUUUCCUUCCCACUGUUCCUUCCCCAUGGAGAAGCCUGUGGCUGGCUGACAGCAGAGAGAGAUGCUCAACUUGGAGAAGGUGUUACCUGGGCCAGGUGGGGAAGGUUUGUUUGCAGAGCAAAGAAGUGAAGAGUCUUUUUGAUUCACAGUAUGAAAAUCAAGUGUAAUUUUUUUUAAAAGAAGAAAGAAAAGCCAGUAUGGAGAAAAUGGUACAGACAUAACUUAAUGAAUCCACAGCAGCUACAAAAGUCAGCUAAUAUAAUGCGCCACAAGCACUAACAUAAAAUCUAUGACAUAUGCCACAGAUCUGGUUUCUCACAAGAUUUAAACCCAGCAUCUGUCAGGAAAUAAACAGGAUAUGCUGACAACAG
rnacentral:lncRNA from 1 species